ACUGCUUUGAACAUCGACAUCUUGAACGCAUAUUGCGGCCAUGGGUUAGCCUGUGGCCACGCCUGUCCGAGGGUCGGCUUAUAAACUAUCACGACGCCCAAAAAGUCGUGGCUUGGGUUUUGCCAGCUGGCGUGAUCUCCUCUAUGAGUAAUCAUGUGAGGUGCCAGAUCUAUGGCGUUUCCCUAAUGUAUCCGGAUGCACCCUUGUCUUGGCAGAAAGCCGUGGUGAGGUGCAGUGGCGGAAUCGUGGUUUAAUAAUCGGGUUGGUACUCAGUUGUCAGUGUGUUCGGCGAUCCCCUAGUCGGCACACUCAUGAUUUCUGGGAUAAUUCCAUACCAGGCACGUUCCGUUACUGUUACUUUGUCAUUGGUUUGAUGCUGAACUUGGUCAUGUGUCUGAUGCUAUUUCAUAUAACGACGGCACCCUUCGUGGUCUGUCUUCCUGACCUCGGUUCAGACGUGAU
rnacentral:misc_RNA from 1 species